GUUUUAUCUACAGACUAUUGAAAAAAUGAUUUGGUUUUAAAAAUCCAUAUCUAGUUACGUAAAGUUAGCAGAGAUAAAAUGGAAAUUAAAUUAAAAUUGAAGAAAAAAGCUUUCACCAUGUGUGAAAUUAUUUCCAGUCUCACUAAGUUGAGUACUACAUCAAGGAUGGUAGGAAUUGGUUGUGGUGUUUAGCCUCCAGGUUUUCUGGGGGUAGAAUCUCCUUCCUUCGUCUUUGCUCAUGUGAACUUCGUAGAGUUGAUUGUAUUCCUAAUUCUAGGGGUAGAACAUGUGACCAAUCCUACACCAAUCAACAUGCCACGUUCCUUGAACACCUGUAGUUAAUUCAAUGUGAGCCAAGUCAAUCAGCACUUUUGAGGACUACUUGGAUCUGGCAGCCAGUCUGAGACCAUGAAAACACUGAGGAGAGAAAUGGAGAGAAGAGACAGAGAGAGGAACACACAAGAAGAAUGUCAUGUGAUGAUGGACAUGGAGAUUGGAGUACAUAAUUGGACUGCAAGCCAAGGAAUGCCAAGGAUUGCAACACCAAAAGGUGAUUGAAUAGCUGUCUUCUCUCAUUGAGCACCCACUCAGGAAACAGCUCCGUGAGUGCAGUGCUCCAGCAACAAGAUUUAAGUAAUGACAACUCCUACUGAUUUUCUGCCAGAGUAAAUAGCUGUAAGUAAUUUUUGAAAUAAUAAUGCUGGACUAAGUGAUCAUCCUCAG
rnacentral:lncRNA from 13 species